rnacentral:rRNA from 1 species
UUAAGUGAAACUAGAUACAAGGCGAGCGGCGGACGGGUUGAGGUAACACGUGGGUAACCUUGCCCCAAGAGACUUGGGAGUAACACCUGGAAACAGAUGCUAAUACCGGAUAACAACACUAGACGCAUAGUCUAGAGUUUGAAAGAUAGGUUCUGCUAUCACUCUUGGAUGGACCUGCGGUGCAUUAGCUAGUUGGUAAGGUAAUGGCUUACCAAGGCAAUGAUGCAUAGCCGAGUUGAGAGACUGAUCGGCCACAUUGGGACUGAGACACGGCCCAAACUCCUACGGGAGGCAGCAGUAGGGAAUCUUCCACAAUGGACGAAAGUCUGAUGGAGCAACGCCGCGUGAGUGAAGAAGGGUUUCGGCUCGUAAAGCUCUGUUGGUAGUGAAGAAAGAUAGAGGUAGUAACUGGCCUUUAUUUGACGGUAAUUACUUAGAAAGUCACGGCUAACUACGUGCCAGCAGCCGCGGUAA